CAGUAGCCGCGGUAAUACGUAGGGUGCGAGCGUUAAUCGGAAUUACUGGGCGUAAAGCGUGCGCAGGCGGUUUUGUAAGACAGGCGUGAAAUCCCCGGGCUCAACCUGGGAAUGGCGCUUGUGACUGCAAAGCUAGAGUGCGGCAGAGGGGGAUGGAAUUCCGCGUGUAGCAGUGAAAUGCGUAGAUAUGCGGAGGAACACCGAUGGCGAUGGCAAUCCCCUGGGCCUGCACUGACGCUCAUGCACGAAAGCGUGGGGAGCAAACAGGAUUAGAUACCCGCGUAGUCCCUGUCUCUUAUAU
rnacentral:rRNA from 1 species